rnacentral:rRNA from 1 species
AUUGAACGCUGGCGGCAGGCUUAACACAUGCAAGUCGAGCGGAGAUGAGGUGCUUGCACCUUAUCUUAGCGGCGGACGGGUGAGUAAUGCUUAGGAAUCUGCCUAUUAGUGGGGGACAACAUUCCGAAAGGAAUGCUAAUACCGCAUACGCCCUACGGGGGAAAGCAGGGGAUCUUCGGACCUUGCGCUAAUAGAUGAGCCUAAGUCGGAUUAGCUAGGUGGUGGGGUAAAGGCCUACCAAGGCGACGAUCUGUAGCGGGUCUGAGAGGAUGCUCCGCCACACUGGGACUGAGACACGGCCCAGACUCCUACGGGAGGCAGCAGUGGGGAAUAUUGGACAAGGGGCGGAAGCCUGAUCCAGCCAUGCCGCGUGUGUGAAGAAGGCCUUUUGGUUGUAAAGCACUUUAAGCGAGGAGGAGGCUACCUGGAUUAAUACUCUAGGAUAGUGGACGUUACUCGCAGAAUAAGCACCGGCUAACUCUGUGCCAGCCGCCGCCGUAACAC